CUCAGGGAAAGUACAAGUAAUUGCAGAGGGUUACUGUAGGAAAGACUGAGGGAUAUGGGGCAUGGGAGGAGGUGGUGAGAAACUUCCUGUGCAGAAGCCCCACAUGGGAUGAGCCCCAUGCGGGUAAGGAUCUGGGGGGAGGUGGUGACCCUUUCCAAAUUAACAAAGCGCUUUCAGUUCAACACAAUGGCAGAAGCCUGUGUGCAAGGUUACAGGAACCAAGAAGUCAGGUGGAAAAGCAAGCUGAGAGGUGAUUUGUGGUUUUUGUUUUGUGGUUUAAGGUGUAGCUGAUUCUUUCUCAGUCAUCAGAACUCAACAAAAACUGUUACCCUGAUGAAAAAUCAACAGCUGAUCCACA